rnacentral:rRNA from 1 species
GACGAACGCUGGCGGCGUGCCUAACACAUGCAAGUCGAGCGAUGAAGCUCCUUCGGGAGUGGAUUAGCGGCGGACGGGUGAGUAACACGUGGGCAACCUGCCUGUAAGACUGGGAUAACUUCGGGAAACCGAAGCUAAUACCGGAUAGGAUCCUCUCCUUCAUGGGAGAUGAUUGAAAGAUGGUUUCGGCUAUCACUUACAGAUGGGCCCGCGGUGCAUUAGCUAGUUGGUGAGGUAACGGCUCACCAAGGCAACGAUGCAUAGCCGACCUGAGGGGGUGAGAGGCCACCCUGGGACUGAGACACAGCCCAGACUCCUCGGGGAGGCAGCAGUAGGGAUUCUUCCGCAAUGGACGAAAGUCUGACGGAGCAACGCCGCGUGAGUGAUGAAGGCUUUCGGGUCGUAAAACUCUGUUGUUAGGGAAGAACAAGUACGAGAGUAACUGCUCGUACCUUGACGGUACCUAACCAGAAAGCCACGGCUAACUACGUGCCAGCAGCCGCCGUAACAC